UAGCAUGGGUCUUGCCAUCUCCGUUUCCCGCUCUCGCAAUCUCUCCGCGUCAUCACUUUAUCAUCCUAAGUGACUAAUCGUUAAUCUUCCACAAUUUACACUUUUCUCUCUGGUUUUCUUCCAAAUUCUCCUUUCCUUCGUUUAUUUCCGGCCAUGGCUUCACAUUGUUACCUAUAUCUCGCCAUCCUCAUCCUUUUAGCCGCCAUUGACGUUAACAGAGAAGGGUGAAAGGAGAAACCAUUAGAAAGCCAGAUGGGGUUUCGACAACUGCAGUGAAGAAAUCAAGAAUAAAUUUAUGAAUUCUGGAUAUUGCAACACAAUUGAGAUGGAAAUUUAGUUUAAUGAGGAUAGUGCGAGGAGCUUCUAUGCUGAACAUUCUUGUAAAACUUUUUCAUUGGACGUGUCAAAUAUUUGACAAGCAUGUGUGGCUCCAACUCUAAAAGGAAUUGACUCCAAGGUUCUAACUCUAAUCAACCUGCUCCGUAGAAGACAUCACCUUUCUUUGGUAUACUUGAUAGUCUCUUUCUUCUAUAUGAUAAAAUAGCAUUUUGUCUCUUGCAUACAUAAUGAGAUUGUUAUGAAUUGACAUAUCCAGAGAGAUGAUAUUAAUCUAGGCAGAAGAGAAAUGCGUAUGAUUAUUUGUAUGUAAAAUGUAGAUGACUGAUUGUAUAAAUGUGUAAUGUAAAUGAAUAUGCAUUUCAAAGAUUGAUUAUAACCUAAGAGUGAUUACAAUGAGAUAGUUGUCAAGUAAUUCGAGAAGUUUGAGGUCUUCCUAAAUGAGUCAUAAACUCAUCUCAAAUGUAUUACCAAAAUGAAUGCCCUUCUCUCUCCCUUCCCUUUUUGUUUAUUCCAUUUCUCCCUACAUAUUAUUCUCUCAACUAACUAAUUACAAAGUACUACUAUUAUUUAUUAUUUAAUUACUAUAUUACCCCUCACAACCAUUCAUGACAUAUCGGCUCCAAAAAAAAUCCACCUUUGCUAAAGGUGGGUACAACAUAAAUUGAGUUAAGAUGAUGGUUGAAAUUGUCAACUUGGUCGAAGGUUUUAGUAAGGAAAAAUUGAAAAAUGUGGGCUUGCAAAAGAAAAAUGACUUGAAUAUUUGACUCUAAAAGUUUGAAGGCUAAAGGAAUAGAGCAAAUUUGAAAUGGAUGUAUUGGGGCUUGGUAUAGAAAUUGGAAAGUCAACAUCAGACUGAUGAUGUCAACAAUGAUGUGGACAAGAGGUUUAUUUACUUUUGUAGCCUCAGCCCUAAUGUUGGGUGGCUUAAACCAACUUUCACAUGACAACCAGAAACCUUCAUAUUCCCUAUUCACCACUGUUGCCGCCUUCAGCACAUUGCUAUUAACCUCCAUUUCUCCAAUCUUCCAGCAAGGGUUCUCAGGCUACCACCGGAUCCGCAGUACACUUGCUCAACAUCUUCUCCCAUUCUGCGACUUCUCCAUAACGUCUUGAACACCACGUACACUCAUUCGUCACAGAUUCUGCAACAUUAGGUCCACUAAACAGUGGCUGAGCCAUCCUACAACCACCUAGUCGGUUCCUUCCUUGCAUCCUCCUUUUUUUCGUCUUCUUCCGUUGUUUCUCUUUUUCAUACCCCGUCUUCCAUUUUUCGGGCAACAUACAAACACCAUGUCGGAGUUUGUACUCUCCAGUCUCCACACUCUAGGACAACCUUAGUAAAAAUACAACCUAUCUUAAUUUUUUAAAAUUCUUUGAAUUAUUUUGGAAUGGCUUUGUUUUAUUUAAUUUUUAAGAAUCUCCAAUUCCUCCACAAUCUUCUUCCUCAACCUGUGCAAAUUCAUUUUGGUGUUUGUCUUUUUCAACAACCUCGUCAAUCUUCAUGUCGGUAAGUUUUACCUCUUGAUAUCUUCUAUUCAUUUUUCUAAUAAUAGUCUCCCAAAGAUCAUCUGAUUUUUUCAUCUCUAAAAUCUUGUUUCAAAUCUGUUCAAGAUUAGUGUUGAAUUGUCUGAAAAUUAGUGUUGAAUUGUCUGAAAAUUUCUUCCAUAUUCAAAAAGUAAUUUUUAGUUUCUUUGUCAACUCUUGCAAUCAACUCCUCCAUCUUAUUCAAUAUAUUACUUAUAGUGGUUUCGUGACACUGUUGAACUCCAGGAUGAUUCCCACCACCAAAUUCAAUGUUGUCGAACUCAUAAACUCCAUCAAAAUCCAAAUUCUGAAUUUCUCGUAUCCAUAGAGAUGAUAUUAAUCUAGGCAGAAGAUAAGUGUGUAUAAAUAUAUCAAUUUAUAUGUAAAAUGUAGAUGACUAAUUGUAUAAAUGUGUAAUGCAAAUGUAUAUGUAUAUCGAAGAUUGAUACUUAGCUAAGAAUGAUUACAAUGAGAUAGUAGUCAAGCAAUUCAAGAAAUUUAAUUCUUAUAUUACCCCUCAACCAUUCAUGACAAAGAUCUACUAAGAAACAAUGCCCAAUUUGUUGGUGAUACUAAUAAUUUUUGUUAGGGUAAGAGCGCUAGCGGAAACGUAAUUUAAUUGAGAAAUAAUCAAAGUGCAAAGGGCAAGAAGAGCUAUUACGAAAAUGACACAAAUUGAGCACUUGAAAAAUAAUUUCACUAUAUUAUAAUCAAAGAGAUUGAUACAAGGAUAUAAGAUAAUAGCUUGUGAAGUGGAAUAAUAAUACAAGAAGGAAAUUUUUGUGUGGACGGUUAGAUUAAAUAAGAUGUCUAACACUCCUAUUUAUAUUUGAGGUUAGUAGGUGGUAUGAAUCUAGUAAUUUCCACACAAAUUUUUUUCUAGUAUAAUCUUUCUAAUGUUCUAGUAUUUUCUAUGCAAAUAUCUAUUACUAGAAUAAUCUAGCUACUAGUUUUAUGAGCUAAACAAGAAUGUCCUUAAAGUGAAGGUUUUGUUGGCUAUGAAUUUGGGCCAUACCCAACAAUCUCCACCUUGAACCAAAUUACAUAGGUCACUUAUGGUUAAAGCCCUUUUAAAAAAACCUUUUAGUAGGAACAAACUCCUACUAAGUCCAAACAAUGAUCGAACUUGAUUCCAGGAAUUGGCUUUGUGAGCAUAUCAGCAGGAUUUUCCGAAGUAUGAACCUUCUUAACUGCAAUUUCACCUUCAGCAAUAAUAUCUCUGACGUAGUGAUAUUUAACUGAGAUAUGCUUGGUCUUGGAAUGGUAGACAUCAUUCUUGGUGAGAAAGAUAACACUUUGACUAUCAGAGAAUACCACAGUGACACCUUGUGGUAUACCAAGAUCCAUAACAAGACCUCGCAACCAUAUAGCCUCCUUUAUACCUUCAGUUGCUGCAACAUACUCUGCUUCAAUAGUAGAAAGAGUAGCUAUCGGUUGCAAUUGAGCCUUCCAGCUAAUUGCACCGGUCUGUCGAUCCCGAUGUAUCUCCAUGCGAAGAAUUUUCGUUGCUGUACCAAGAUCUUUCAUCUCAAACUCCUUGCUAAGUUGCGAUUUUAAGUUCUUGAUCAGAGACUUGUCACAAGAUGCAAUGAGCAUAUUGUCCACGUACAACAACAAAUAAAUAAAGUGCCACCAUAUUGCCGAAAAAGACACAAUGAUCAUACUGGCUGCGUGUGUAGCCUUUUUUGAUCAUAAAUGAAUCAAAGCGCUUGUACCACUGCCUUGGAGCUUGCUUAAGACCAUAUAAUGAUUUCUUCAAGCGACAAACAAGAUUUUCCUUUCCAGGAACAACAAAUCCUUCGGGUUGCUUCAUAUAAAUCUCUUCUUCAAUGUCACCAUGAAGAAAAACAGUUUUGACAUCGAGUUGCUCUAACUCCAUGUCAAACAUAGCAACCAUUGCAAGAAGAACUCGAAUAGAAGUAUGACGAAUAACAGGAGAAAAAAUUUCACUAAAGUCAAUACCUUCUUUUUGAUGGCAUCCUUUGACAACGAGGCGUGCCUUCCAUCAUGCGGGUUCAACUCCUGGAAUGCCUUCCUUUUGCUUGUAGACCCAUUUGCAAGCAAUUGCUUUUCGGCCUUUAGGUAGCUCCACCAGGUCCCAUGUGCCAUUCUUGUGAAGACUAUUGAUCUCCUCAUUCAUUGCUAUUAGCCAUUUAAAGGAAUCAGGACUAGAGAUGGCUUCUGAAUAGGAGGAUGGAUCAGCUCCAACAGUAGUUUCUUCGCCAACUAAGAGUGCAUAAGCAAGCACAUAUUUAUCUGCAGAAUAUUUUGAUGACCUUAUGAUAGGCCUUUUUGAACGAUCCCUGACCAGAUUGUAAUCUGUUGGUUGAUGAGAGAUUUGUGGCUGGCUUGAUCCAUUGGUAAUUGGAGAAUCAUUAUCGUGAUCUUGAUCAUCAUGGCUGGAACAAGGGCUUGAUGAAGCAUCAUCUUCCACCGUGGGAGACUGACUUCUUGUCUCUAACUCCACCUUCUCACUAACACUAUCUUGAUUAUAUGUUUAGGAGAUGAAAUAGAAGACUCCAGACCAGAGGAUUUGAUAGUAGCAUUUUUCAUUAAAAGUAACAUCUCGAGUAAGAAUUACUUUCUUAGACUCGAGACACCAUAAUCUAUAUCCUUUAGAUUCAGAAGAGUAACCAAUAAAAUGCAUUUAACAGCACUAGGAGCUAAUUUGCCAUCAUUAAUGUGAGCAUAGGCAAUACAACCAUAUACUUUAAGGAAGGAGUAGUCAACGAUUGUACCUGACCAGACUUCCUCUGGGAUUUUGAAGUCAAUAGAAGAGUGUAGAGAUCGGUUGACGAUAUAUGCGGCUGUAGAUACGGCUUCUGUCCAUAGAUAUUGAUGACUCCAUAGUCCAGCAUUAGAGAUCAUACAAGGAGCUCUUUCAAGAAGAGUUCGGUUCAUACGUUCUGCAACACCAUUUUGUUGAGGCUUGUGAGGUAAUAUUUUGUGUCUUGCAAUGCCAGCUUUUGCACAGAAUUCUUCAAAUUCUCCAUCACAAAAUUCCAUGCCACGAUCAGUCCUGAGCUUCUUGAUUUUUCUCCUAGUCUGGUUCUCCACGAGAGCUUUCCACUUCUUAAAAGUGGGAAAAGCCUCAUUUUUACGCCUUAAGAAAUAAAUCUAGACUUUACGAGUGAAAUCAUCAAUAAUCGACAUAAAGUAGCAUUUUCCAGAAUAAGAGGCGACCCUAGAAGGUCCCCAUAAAUCAGAGUGGACAUAAUCAAGAAUACCCUUUGUUCAGUGAGUAGCAGUAGAGAAACUUACUUUCUUUUGCUUCCCAUAGACACAAUGCUCACAGAAUUCUAGCUUACCCGUACUAGGUGAGCCGUGAAGUCCACGUUUGCACAGGAUGUCCAUUCCUUUUUCGCUCAUAUGACCGAGGCAUUUAUGCCAUAAAUGAGUAUGACCAGAAUCAAUAAAUGAGGAUGAGAUAUAAACUACCACUUCUUGUGGCCUUCAUUACAACUAGGGCACCUUUGGUGACCUUCAAAACUCCACCUUGAGAUGAAAAUCUAUAUUCAAGAGACUCAAGAGUACCCAGUGAAAUCAGAUUGCGUUUUAAGUCAGGAAUAUGACGAACCUUAGUCAAAGUCUUGACAACGCCAUCAUGAGUCUUGAUUUUGAUUGAACCUAUGCCAAUAACCUUACAGGAAACAUCGUUUCCCAUUAAGACAAUACCACAAUCAACAAAUUCAUAUGUGGUAAACCAGUCCCUAUGGGGACACAUAUGAUAGGUGCAACCAGAAUCAAAAAUCCAUUCAUUAAGGUCCUUCUUUUCAGAAGUUACAGGUAACACUGAGUCACCUUCUGAGUCAGUUGGAUAGCCGACAUGGCUUUUUCAUCCAACUCUUGCCACUGCUCGUCGGUCAUCGUUGAAGGCUUUGUAUGAAGAGCCUUUUUUAAUCAGUUUUGAACAAGAACGGCUUGCAUCUGGAUUUUCUAGAUACUAAAGCUUAUCUUGCUAUUGAAUUUCUCGAUAUCAAACUUUGUAACGCUCGACAUUAUAAACCUUUGGCUCUGAUACCACUUGUUAGGGUAAGAGCGCUAGCGAAAACUUAAUUUAAUCGAGAAAUAAUCAAAGUGUAAAGGGCAAGAAGAGCUAUUAAGAAAAUGACACAAACCGAGCACUUGAAAAAUAAUUCCACUAUAUUAUAAUCAAAGAGAUUGAUACAAGGAUAUAAGAUAAUAGCUUGUGAAGUGGAAUAAUAAUACAAGAAGGAUAUUUUUGUGUGGAUGGUUCGAUUAAAUAAGAUGUCUAACACCCCUAUUUAUACUUGAGGUUAGUAGGUGGCAUGAAUCUAAUAAUUUCCACACAAAUCUUUUUCUAGUAUAAUCUUUCUAAUGUUCUAGUAUUUUCUAUGCAAAUAUCUAUUACUAGAAUAAUCUAGCUACUAAUUUUAUGAGCUGAACAAAUCAUUCUAAAAUGUUCUUAAAGUGAACAUUUUGUGGGCUAUGGAUUUGGACCAUACCCAACAAUUUUUGUGUUAAUAUAAUAUCUUGUGUACUUCAUUUGGAUAUAUCAUUUAUUUUGAAAGCCUACAUGUUGACUUGAAGAGUUUGAGACUUCACAAACAAGAUUUUAGGAAGAUCGUUAUGUAGUCAAAACUUAUCAUCAUUAUUCUCCUGCUUGCAGAAGAAAGAAAAAAGAUAAUAAUUGGAAUAAUUAUCAAAACAAAUGAUUUAGAUAUAGAUAUGGACACGAGUCAUGAGGGAAAUAUAUGUUAUUAAAUUACCUUUGAUGGGCACCAUUCACCAAGUGUUCUCAAUAAGAUGUAUUCAUGAUGGCAUAUACUUUAACUAGUGGUUGGCUAGUUAAGACUUGAAGACAACCCUUAUAAGCUGAUUCAAAUGUGUGGUGACUGCUCAAACUUUUUCAGGCUAUCUAUAAUACACUGUUUGCUUCAGAUUAUUAUUUUUUAGCCAAAAAUGUAACAAGAUAGCAAGGAUUGUAUGACUAGAGUGAUUAAAAUGAGAAUGUAAAUGGCUAUGUAUAGUAUGAUUUAAAGUAGGGCUGACAAAAGUUGAUCCAAUGUAUGACAUGUCAUAUAGUGGCAGUUCCAGAUGCACAAGACUUACGUUAGUUUGAUAAACUUAAGUUUUAGGCUGUACCCAAAUGACUGAUGUUCUUUGAGAAACAUACUUUAUGAGUGAAUUUCUGUUUGGUUUUGGCUCAUAGACCAUAGAGAAAUGAAUCAUUUUGGCAUGCUUGUAUUUUAUGACUUGAAUACUAUUUGUUUGAACAAAUAUGAACUCAAGUCAUUUAUAGACACAUUUUCUUUAUUCUUCCUUUUUUCUUAAA